rnacentral:rRNA from 1 species
CUUGACUGUAGCUUGGAAUUGGGUUCGGGCUCUUCUUGCGCAGCCUAGGUGGGAGGCGUUGAAAGUUUUUUUCGGGAAAACUGGAGCCAUCAGUGAGAGACCACUCUGGAGGAGCUAGAAUUCUAAUGGCGUUCCUUGAAGCAGGACGCUUGACAGUUUCAGGUGGGCAGUUUGACUGGGGCGGUCACCUCCUAAAAGGUAACGGAGGUGUGCAAAGGUUCCCUCAGGCUGGACGGAAAUCAGCCGUAGAGUGUAAAGGCAGAAGGGAGCUUGACUGCAAGACCUACAAGUCGAGCAGGGGCGAAAGCCGGCCUUAGUGAUCCGACGGUUCCGCGUGGAAGGGCCGUCGCUCAACGGAUAAAAGUUA